rnacentral:rRNA from 1 species
UACGUAGGGGGCAAGCGUUGUCCGGAAUUAUUGGGCGUAAAGCGCGUGUAGGCGGUCCGGUAAGUCGGUUGUGAAAGUCCAGGGCUCAACCCUGGGAUCGCCGAUCGAUACUGCCGGACUAGAGUCCGGAAGAGGCGAGUGGAAUUCCCGGUGUAGCGGGUGAAAUGCGCAGAUAUCGGGAGGAACACCAAUGGGCGAAGGCAGCUCGCUGGGACGGUACUGACGCUGAGACG